GACGAACGCUGGCGGCGUGCCUAAUACAUGCAAGUUGAGCGCUGAAGGAUGGUACUUGUACCAACUGGAUGAGCAGCGAACGGGUGAGUAACGCGUGGGGAAUCUGCCUUUGAGCGGGGGACAACAUUUUGAAACGAAUGCUAAUACCGCAUAAAAACUUUAAACACAAGUUGUAAGUUUGAAAGAUGCAAUUGCAGCACUCAAAGAUGAUCCCGCGUUGUAUUAGCUAGUUGGUGAGGUAAAGGCUCACCAAGGCGAUGAUACAUAGCCGACCUGAGAGGGUGAUCGGCCACCAUGGGACUGAGACACGGCCCAAACUCCUACGGGAGGCAGCAGUAGGGAAUCUUCGGCCAUGGACGAAAGUCUGACCGCGCACCGCCGGGUGAGUGAAGAAGGUUUUCGGAUCGUAAAACUCUGUUGGUAGAGAAGAACGUUGGUGAGAGUGGAAAGCUCAUCAAGUGACGGUACCUAAACAGAAAGGGACGGCUAACUACGUG
rnacentral:rRNA from 1 species